UACGUAGGGGGCAAGCGUUGUCCGGAUUCAUUGGGCGUAAAGCGCGUGUAGGCGGCCAGGUAGGUCUGGUGUGAAAACUUGAGGCUCAACCUCAAGAGGUCAUCGGAAACCAUCUGGCUAGAGUCCGGAAGAGGAGAGUGGAAUUCCCGGUGUAGCGGUGAAAUGCGCAGAUAUCAGGAAGAACACCCGUGGCUAAGGCGGCUCACUGGACUGGUAUUGACGCUGAGGGACGAAAGCUAGGGGAGCGAAUGGG
rnacentral:rRNA from 1 species